AUUGAACGCUGGCGGCAGGCCUAACACAUGCAAGUCGAACGAGUGGCGGACGGGUGAGUAAUGUCUGGGAAACUGCCCGAUGGAGGGGGAUAACUACUGGAAACGGUAGCUAAUACCGCAUACCAUCGGAUGUGCCCACAUUGGAUUAGCUAGUAGGUGUGGUAACGGCUCACCUAGGCGACGAUCCCUAGCUGGUCUGAGAGGAUGACGAGCAACGCUGUAACAGAGCCACGGUCCUGACUCCUACGGGAGGCAGCAGUGGGGAAUCUUGCACAAUGGGCGCAAGCCUGAUGCAGCCAUGCCGCGUGUAUGAAGAAGGCCUUCGAGUUGUAAAGUACUUUCAGCGAGGAGGCGUUACUCGCAGAAGAAGCACCGGCUAACUCCGUGCCAGCAGCCGCGGUAAUAC
rnacentral:rRNA from 1 species